rnacentral:rRNA from 1 species
CCUACGGGUGGCUGCAGUGGGGAAUAUUGCGCAAUGGGCGAAAGCCUGACGCAGCGACGCCGCGUGGGUGAUGAAGGCCUUCGGGUCGUAAAGCCCUGUCGGGAGGGAAGAAAUCUCAUCAGCCUAAUAUGCUGAUGACUUGACGGUACCUCUUAAGGAAGCACCGGCUAACUCCGUGCCAGCAGCCGCGGUAAUACGGAGGGUGCAAGCGUUGUUCGGAAUCACUGGGCGUAAAGCGCGUGUAGGCGGCUAUUUAAGUCUGAUGUGAAAGCCCU